UGCCCAUUCCUGACACACAUAAUUGACUUUCUGAUUUUAAGCCGGAUCCAUGGUUAAAUCUGGUUCCAAAUGACAGCCCUUUAGAGCAUCUGCUGUUUUUCUUGAUAAUGUGUUCUGGGAAAUUUAAGGUCACUAACUAGAUCUAAAGGAGAUGAGAUUGCCAAGUUUCAAAAGGGCAGGAACAAUCCUUGGCCGCACGCCAGGGAAGGAAAGACCAUUUCAUGGAGAAGGAAGGAAAAGGUAGUGAGUGCCCCAUGGGAAAAACAAUUGGAACAGAAUGGAUAUAAAGACAGAUGAGCUGGAGAGUGGAGCUACUCCUAGGGAAAGACUCACCCCCAACAACUGUGGAGGAGGCAGUGCUAUCCCCUGCCAAGAUGAAGCUGCUGUUGCUGUGUCUGGGGCUGACCCUUGUCUGUGCCCAGGAGGAAGAAACAAUAACACUGUGACAAGCAACUUUGAUCUGUCAAAGAUUUCAGGAGAGUGGUAUUCGGUUCUCAUAGCCUCUGACCAGAGGGAAGAGAUAGAAGAAGACGGAAAUAUGAGGGUUUUUGUGGAACACAUUGGUUACCAGGGGGAAUCUUCUCUGACUUUUAAGUUGCAUGAAAUAUCACGGACACAAUGUAGUUAACAUACUUGAAGUGGACUAUGAUAAUUAUAUAUUUUUUCAUGACAAGAAUUUCAGGGAUGGGGAAACAUUCCUACUGAUGGAGCUCUAUGAUCGAUGUCUCCAGGCCCGAGAUGGGGGAGCAGCCUAAGCCUCCAGUGUGAAUGCUUUGUCACCUGGACUCCAAUAUCUUCCCUUCCUGGACCCCACGUCCUCUUGUGACAAGUUCUGUGACCUGGUUUCCAUCAUGUCACACACAAAGACAUCAUCCCUGCAUCUUUAGGAUCUUCCCUAACUGCAGAAGAAGACUCAGAAAUUCACCAAGGAUUAAAGGUUUGCUCUGAAUUUCUGACUUUGUCACAGCCAGGGGAACUCUACAUGAAUAACACCUGACUCCACAUGAUCCAUAAAUAAA